GUUUGUUAGUUUCGACUCGAAAAUGUCAAAAAAUGCGAUAUCCGCUUUCGUGUUGUUCAGAUAUCACAGAUCAAGCACUUCUUUUGUUAAUCAAACAAAUGGCAGUCAUUUUAAGCUUAACACGUUUAAUGAACGAGAAUAAACAAAAUUAAGUGCCAGAGUUGGAUUUCGACCUGCAUUAUUAAUGAAGAUAAUAAAAAGCGUAAUGUAUUUGCAACUGAUUAUGGCAGCACAUAUGAAUCGGGUUGAAAAAAGAGACCAAUUGUAAUUCGGAGCAGAAUUCAAUGUUUUUUAUUGUGUUAAUUAUUGACAAUAAUUAUGCAUUAAUCGGCAACAAAUGUAUAAAUAAUUGCUGGGACAAUUGCUUGUGCCUUGAAUAUUGCGCAUACGACAUGUGCGCCAGCCAUAUGUUCUCAAUUUCGCAUUCCACGCAAUUUCAACAUGUUUGCGUAACUAAAUUUUGUUGCACAACCAUUUGAUCUAUGUAUGUUCGAAAGUUUGUUAUAAUUUUAGUCUUUUGUUUCCCAAAGCCCGACAAAGUUUGCCUGGAAAAACUGUUUUCAAAUUGAGCCACCAGCCACGUGUUCCUGGCUAAAAACCAAGCAGAAACUUCUUCUUUCAUCUGCUUUUAAUUGAACAUUUUUAAUUUAUGCACAAUAAAAACUGAUUUACCGAUGGCUACCCGUUCGGCUAGAAAAAGUUCAACUUUAACUUUUUAUGACUGACCCAAACAGAAAAAAUGAUGUCGAGAAGCAGGAAAAGAAAAAAAAAUUAUGAGCCAUAAAAGCGACCAAGGUGUGUGGGCCUGGCCUCUGUGUGUCUAUGAAAGCAAAACUAAAGUUUUGGUACAGCAACUUUUGGUUUUUAGUGCCGGCAGCUUGGUCCAUUUUAAGUGGCCAUGAAUUUCCCGGCCAGUGAGCAUCGGCUGCCAGCAAAGCGAGCACGUGGCUCCAUAAAGACAACUGGGAUUCAGCACCGAACCCACCCGGAUAUCAGAUAUUCUAUCCCAAAAAGUCGAGCCACCUGCAGGCGCCAUUGUUUUAGUUGCGGCCAUUCGCUCCAUUUUCCCCGCAUCCAAUUGGUUUUGUUUUUAAUUCCGUCAUGGCAGCCAGAACACGUGUGCCCGAAAUUGUUUAGAGUCAGUUAGCGUCGAAACGUGGCAGCCAUAAAUUGAUCAAAGCCAAAUACUUCAACUAAAAGCAAAAAUUAUGUUUUGAUUUUCAGAGGAGCAACCUGUUUUAUUUCGCAACGAAAAGUGUCAAAUUGCAAUUUCUCUUAACAAGCAUUUUAAAUUACAUUUUCAUACUGUUAAUUAAAUCAGUUGUGCCGAAUAUAUUCACACUUUCUGAAAUGUCUAACCAUAAGAAUACUAUAAACCAAUCUACCGACUCAUAACCAAGAUGAAUCUAUAUUUGGCUCUCAUCCUGGCUGCAAUUUCUGGAAUUUCGAGUGCACCACAGCCUGGAGGUGGUUUCGCUCCCUAUAUAUAUGUUUGUAAUCCACCGCAUCCUGCUUGUCUGCUCUAUCAGCCAUUUAAUAAUACAGGCGCAAAUACGAGCUAGAAAAGCUACGUGAAAAUAAGUACGAAAAAUAAAGUAUGGAAGCCCUAAAGGUAAUAAACCUAAAGUGAAUUAACAUAAACGAA